rnacentral:rRNA from 1 species
UACGUAGGUGGCAAGCGUUGUUCGGAAUUAUUGGGCGUAAAGGGCGCGUAGGCGGUUUGUUAAGUCGGCCGUGAAAGCCCGGGGCUCAACCCCGGAGGGUCAGCCGAUACUGGCAGACUAGAGUACGGAAGAGGAGACUGGAAUUCCUGGUGUAGCAGUGAAAUGCGUAGAUAUCAGGAGGAACACCGAUGGCGAAGGCAGGUCUCUGGGCUGACACUGACGCUCAUGCACGAAAGCGUGGGGAGCAAACAGG